GUCAACAACUCCGACUAAAAAUCGGAGGCUUGUAAGGAUGGUCUUACAGGCUACGAGUUGGCUAAACUCAGUCUUUCAAGAAGACUACGUUACCGUAGAGUAGGGGUUUAUGGCUAUAAGCCCCUAC
rnacentral:sRNA from 20 species